ACCUGGCCCAACUCAAUUAGAAGUUGAGCUCCACGAAGAGGUGAGUAUCUGCACCCACUGCAGUGUACACGCCCAGUCAAGGGCAUCAUAAUGGACCCAAACAAGGGAAUCACAAUGGACUUCUCAGUCUCCAAAGAUCCGAAGUUGCUGGCCUGUGGGAGAUCCAUAAAGGAUGUGUCCUUGAUGGGGUCUUGGGCUCAUAUUGUAUACAACACAGCUAAAACCAAUACUUCAUAAAGGGCAAAGACUAAUAAUAUGCUCUCUGAGAAAAUCUGACUGGCAUGCUGAUACAGUGAACACCACAUGUGGACAGCCAGAAUAAAUUAUGGUGGGACACAACAGCUCUAGCAGAUUAAUUUCACUCUGAGCCUCUUCUAAAAGAGGCACACAGUGCAAAUAAAGCCUUCUGGGAACAUGAAGGAGAAGAAGAUGACUCGGAGCAGUCAGCAUUGAUUUGCCAAGGGUAAAUCACACCUGACCAACUUGAUUAUCUUCAAUGGACACCAUCUGUGGUUUCUGAGAGAAAGGAAUACCAACAAAGAUAGGAAAGGGUUGCUUGAACUAAGCUAAGUAACAUGCUAAAUAAACUCAAGACAAGAAAAAGUAAA